UCUUAUGAUGAUAACUAUUGUCCAGUUCUGCUACUGAUUGUAAAGAGAUGAAAAUGGCUUUCUGAGGAA